UCCUGGAAGCUUGGAAAACCCAGGCCAAAUUGUUUCAUUGGGUGUCCCUAGAGUUCGGAAUAUCUUGUCAAGUUGAUCGACUUCAGUUUUUCCAUUAAACAGUGGUUGCUUUGACAAUAAUUCAGCCAUAAUACAACCCAAGGACCACAUGUCAAUUGCUGUAGAAUACUGUCUUGUUCCCAAUAAAAGUUCAGGUGCCCUGUACCAAAG
rnacentral:misc_RNA from 1 species